CAGCAGCCGCGGUAAUACCGAGGGUGCAAGCGUUAAUCGGAAUUACUGGGCGUAAAGCGCGCGUAGGUGGUUUGUUAAGUUGGAUGUGAAAUCCCCGGGCUCAACCUGGGAACUGCAUCCAAAACUGGCAAGCUAGAGUAUGGUAGAGGGUGGUGGAAUUUCCUGUGUAGCGGUGAAAUGCGUAGAUAUAGGAAGGAACACCAGUGGCGAAGGCGACCACCUGGACUGAUACUGACACUGAGGUGCGAAAGCGUGGGGAGCAAACAGGAUUAGAUACCCCCGUAGUCCCUGUCUCUUAUAC
rnacentral:rRNA from 1 species